AGUGAACGCUGGCGGUAGGCCUAACACAUGCCAGUCGAACGGCAGCACAGUAAGAGCUUGCUCUUACGGGUGGCGAGUGGCGGACGGGUGAGGAAUACAUCGGAAUCUACUUUUUCGUGGGGGAUAACGUAGGGAAACUUACGCUAAUACCGCAUACGACCUACGGGUGAAAGCAGGGGAUCUUCGGACCUUGCGCGAUUGAAUUAGCCGAUGUCGGAUUAGCUAGUUGGCGGGGUAAAGGCCCACCAAGGCGACGAUCCGUAGCUGGUCUGAGAGGAUGAUCAGCCGCACUGGAACUGGGACACGGUCCAGACUCCUACGGGAAGCAGCAGUGUGGAACAUUGGACAAUGGGCGCAAGCCUGAUACAGCCAUACCACGUGGGUGAAGAAGGCCUUCGGGUUGUAAAGCCCUUUUGUUGGGUAAGAAAAGCUGCAGGUUAAUAACCCGCUGUUCUGACGGUACCCAAAGAAUAAGCACCGGCUAACUUCGUG
rnacentral:rRNA from 1 species